rnacentral:rRNA from 1 species
UACGUAGGGUGCGAGCGUUGUCCGGAAUUAUUGGGCGUAAAGAGCUUGUAGGCGGUUUGUCGCGUCUGCCGUGAAAAUUCGAGGCUCAACCUCGAACUUGCGGUGGGUACGGGCAGACUAGAGUGUGGUAGGGGGAGACUGGAAUUCCUGGUGUAGCGGUGGAAUGCGCAGAUAUCAGGAGGAACACCGGUGGCGAAGGCGGGGUCUCG